CGAGCUCGCCAGACAGUCGCCGCCGGUUUCGAUCGGGGGAGGAAAGUCCGGGCUCCGCAGGGCAAGGUGCCAGGUAACGCCUGGGCGGCGCGAGCCGACGGAAAGUGCAACAGAAAGUAUACCGCCUAAGCGCCUUCGGGCGCCGGUAAGGGUGAAAUGGUGCGGUAAGAGCGCACCGCGUGGCUGGCAACAGUCCACGGCGAUGGUAAACCCCACCUGGAGCAAGACCAAAU
rnacentral:RNase_P_RNA from 1 species